UAGAAGCGGUGCACGAAGAGAGAACGAGGAGAAUGUUGCUGGGUGAGGAAAACGGUGCGCGAAAAAAUAACUGGGAGUUUGGUUUGAGAUCUAGAGGCUAGCGGUUGGGGGAGUUUUUGAUCGGGAGGAGAAUGCUAAGGUGAAGAAAAGAGGAAAACGGGGAAGAUGUUUUGGUCUUGAGGAGUGGUGUUUUGGUGCUUGGCAGAGGACAGGAGAAUUCAAUUUUGACAGAAGGAGAAAUAAGGGAAGAAGAGUGAGAAGUCUUCGAGAAGGAGGAAAAACGUCAUCAAUCCGAAGAACCUGUUACACCAGCCGCCAACCGAGCUCGGCGUGACGACUAGAAUUUAAUUUCAUCAAAUCAUAAAUUUUCAAACGACGCACGAUAUUUCUCUACUGAUACUACUUCCCUGUGCGACACUCGCUUGCAAAAUGAAAAUUGCCGGCCCAGCCGACUAUCGAUCAAACGGUCUCGGUCCUGCUCAUUUUGUGAGAAAAACCAAAAAUGCAUUUUCAAUCGCCUCAACCAGGACAAUCGUUAGGUCUGCAUUUCACAAUUUAUGACCUGGUCAAGUUUAAAUACAAGGUCAAUGUUCCCUUUUGAUCGGUUAUACAAUAUUCGAACAUUGUUAUUAGCUACAAAUUAACAAUUUAUAUAUAAAUGUGAUAAAUCAAAACAAAAUACGCAGUUCAAUUUCAUUUACUAAUCAGCAAAUUAAGUGUUGUUGAACCUUUCGAUAAUUUGCAUAUAAUAAAUAGAUCAGCACUAAAUGAAAGCUCGUUCAACCAGGUAUUUGCUUGCAUAACAAAAUGUUAUAUUCAUGUCAAUAACUUCGCAACUUUUCUAUUCAUUUAAGCAAACUCAAUAUUAGUAUUUAAGGAAGAAAUUGUUAAUGUUCUAUACUCAGUAAAUAAAAAUUUCGACAGAGAACGUUCUGCUUUGUUAUUUAUUGGUCAAAGUAUAA